rnacentral:rRNA from 1 species
GAGACUGCCGAUGACAAAUCGGAGGAAGGUGGGGAUGACGUCAAAUCAUCAUACCCUUUAUGUCCUGGGCUACACACGUGCUACAAUGGUCGGUACAACGAGAAGCAAGUCAGCGAUGGCAAGCAAAUCUCUAAAAGCCGAUCCCAGUUCGGAUUGCAGGCUGCAACUCGCCUGCAUGAAGUCGGAGUUGCUAGUAAUCGCGGAUCAGAAUGCCGCGGUGAAUGCGUUCCCGGGUCUU